AAUAGACCCGCUGCUCUGGUCCUCAGCCUGGCCGUUACAGUGACACUUCGACCGAGCGGACGUGAGGAAGUCUCACCGGCCUGACUUGGCGUCUUCUUUCACCUUUUGGUUAAAAGGCUUUUUUUUUUUGACAGCGAUAUGAUCUCCAGGAAAAGAGGCCUCCCGGCCGAUAACGGGGAGCAGGACGGACCGCUGGUCGCCCCCAAGCAGCAGCAGAUCCGGGCGGAGGGCAAGAGACACGCCGCUGCUGUGAUCCUGGCGAGGGGAGGAAGUAAAGGGAUCCCCCUGAAAAACAUCAAAAUGUUAGCCGGGGUGCCCCUCAUCGGCUGGGUGCUGAGGGCUGCUGUGGACUCCGACAUGUUCGACAGUGUGUGGGUAUCGACGGACCACGACGAGAUAGAGAAGGUGGCAAAAUCCUGGGGCGCCAAGGUGCAUCGCAGGAGUGCUGAAGUCUCCAGAGACUCUUCUUCAUCACUGGAAACCAUCCAAGAGUUUGCCAGGCUCAACCCAGAGGUGGAUGUGAUAUGCCACAUUCAGGCUACGUCCCCGUGUCUACAUCCGCACCACGUGAAGGAGGCGCUGGAGAUGAUCACGCUGCAGGGCUUUGAUUCGGUGUUCUCUGUGGUCCGGAGACACCAGUUCCGCUGGAAGGAGAUCAAGAAGGGAUCUGAUGAAAUGACCAAGCCGUUCAACCUGGACACAGCCAACCGGCCACGGCGCCAGGACUGGGACGGCGAGCUGUGUGAGAAUGGCUCCUUUUAUUUCGCCACCAGAGAUCUCCUCAUGAACAAAGGUCUUAUGCAGGGUGGAAAGAUCGGCUACUAUGAGAUGCUGCCGGAGUACAGCGUGGACAUAGACGUGGACAUCGACUGGCCUGUGGCAGAGCAGAGGGUUCUCAGGUACGGUUACUUCGGUCGGGUCACGCCGGAGGUGGUUCAGCUGAUGUUCUGCAACGUUUCCGGAUGUUUAACAGAAGGAAGGAUCUUUCUGUCGGUGUCCGGGGAGGAUAUGGUGUCUGUUAACACCAGAGACGCCAUGGGCAUCCGGAUGCUGAAGGGGGAAGAAGUGGAGGUCGUGCUGUUGACGUCCAGAGAGGACCCUGUGACCAAGUCGUUGGCGGAGAAACUGGCCAAGAGGAUGGGCUGCGAAGUCAUGGAGGUGGGAGAGGAACCGCUGAACGAUUUGAAGCUGGUAGUGGAGAAGAAGAAGCUGGAGUGGAAGGAUGUGGCGUACAUGGGUAACGAUAAACCCGAUGUGAAGUGUCUGAACCUGGCGGGUUUGAGCGCAGUACCUGGAGAUGCCCCAACGGUCGCCAUCAACGCCGCAAAAUACACCUGCCACAAAGUCGGGGGACUGGGGGCCGUCAGGGAGUUUGCCGAGCACAUUCUCCUUCAGAAACAAAAAGCAAAGGCUCAGAUGAAGCAGGACCGCAUCGACAACAGCAGCUUCUGACUCAACUUCAACUCCACAUUGAAAGGUUUACGUGGGGACAGCACACGCAGAGGAAACGUUCUUUUAGACAGUCAGACAUACGACUGCCACUGCACACAUGACCCGAGGCUCUAUCUGAAUCUGUAAUCAACAUGAGGGCAUAUUCAUGUUUCUGACAGAUAUGAUGUUUACAUUUUUAAACACAUCGCUAAGCAUAUGUGUGCUAGAGGUCAUGAUGUUAAAACCAAAAUGGCAGCAGUUAAAGCUUCCUAACAAAAUGACUUGUAUACCAAUGUGCUAAAAGGAGGUGUGUGUUCUGUCAAUGUGCUGAUUUACAGGGUGUAUAUCUGGUGGUUACGAGAGAAGGGGAGGACAGAAGGAUGAUGAAGCAUUCAGAAAUGAACAAUGGUAGUCCUCAGAUAUUUUACUUAUGAAAAAGUAUCAGUGCAAAAAUGUAUAAAUAAAGCAUUAGAAGGAAAAGUCCUAUAUUCAAAAUACUAUUUAAGUAAAAAUACAGAAGUACUUUUUUGCACUUGUUCUGCAAAAUAAGAAAAUAAAAGUCACCUGCGAGUUAUAUAUUAUCAUAAAUUACAACGUUCAUUCUGAUGUAUUUUAUUAGUAGAAACAAACAUUUUGAGUUUGGGUUUGUGUGUUAUUAGAUGGAGGCAUCUGCUGAUUCAUUUAGAGACAAGAGCAGUGAACCUUCCUGUGUUUCUCCACAGACAUAACAACUCCUCCCCCUGGUGUUCAAACAGUAGAACUACAGCAGAGAGCUUUGGGAGGAAAAUAACUGGUACACUGAAAGACAAACCUCUUUUACAUGAAAUAAACUUUCAGAUACGUUGCAAAUACAAAAUUUACUAAAAUAAUAUUAAUAACAGUAGUCAUCUCAAGAAAAUCACCUUCAAUGCUCUACUUUCAUGCCCGCAAUCAUGCUCUAAAAUAAAAGC